rnacentral:misc_RNA from 1 species
UCCAUAGAUACGCCAUGGGAAGCGCCACUAAGGGCAGAACUACCAUUGAUGUAGGAGCUGAUGGUGUGGCUGUCAUUACCAUCAUCAAUCCUCCUGUUAAUUCCCUCUCUUUCGAUGGUACCCUCUUUUUCCUUUUUUUUUGUUNAAGAUAGUUUUGACCAAGCCUUAAGAAGAGAUGAUGUGAAGGCAAUUGUUGUCACGGGUGCNUCAUUUCAUGGGGCUUUAUUCUCAUUGUUAAGCUUAAUUUAAUGCGUCAUUUUCUCAUCGG